rnacentral:lncRNA from 1 species
AGCAUCAUCUGGCUUUAGAGUCAGGGAUUGCUGGCUGCUGGCACGCAGAUCUGGACCAUUACAUGGAGCAGGCACAAGCUGUAUGAAAGCAGAAAGGAUCGCACUGUCGGCAUCAGCAAUAGCUCAUGCUACGCCUGCAGAGACCCCAAAACAGAAGUGCAGCCCACUCUCACAUUUCCUGAUGAAAGCUGCUAUCAGAGCCCAGCCAAAUGCCCAAAAAAGCAGGAGAGCUCAACUGGCCAUGGAAAAAAUCAAGUGCAACAGGACUUUGUGCCUAAAUCUGAAGGCAUAAGAUGAUGCUUGGAAAACAAAUUACCUGAGCUUUCAUUGGGUUCUUAAUUCAGCUAGUUGUCCUCUCUGUUUGUCUCCUACUGCCUAAGAAGAGAUCUGUAUGACCGGGGCAUGAGUUCUACUGAACGCUCAUGAGAGACUGGAGAGUUCCUGGGGUCUACUGGGAUAAGAGGGAAGGGCUGGUGGCACCAGGGUGGG